UACGUAGGGGGCAAGCGUUGUCCGGAUUCAUUGGGCGUAAAGAGCGUGUAGGCGGCCAGGUAGGUCGGUUGUGAAACUGGAGGCUCAACCUUCAGAGGUCGACCGAAAACCAUCUGGCUAGAGUCCGGGAGAGGAGAGUGGAAUUCCUGGUGGUAGCGGUGAAAUGCGCAGAUAUCAGGAAGAACACCCGUGGCGAAAGCGGCUCUCUGGAACGGUA
rnacentral:rRNA from 1 species